rnacentral:rRNA from 1 species
GACGAACGCUGGCGGCGUGCUUAACACAUGCAAGUCGAACGGAAAGGCCCUGCUUUUGUGGGGUGCUCGAGUGGCGAACGGGUGAGUAACACGUGAGUAACCUGCCCUUGACUUUGGGAUAACUUCAGGAAACUGGGGCUAAUACCGGAUAGGAGCUCCUGCUGCAUGGUGGGGGUUGGAAAGUUUCGGCGGUUGGGGAUGGACUCGCGGCUUAUCAGCUUGUUGGUGGGGUAGUGGCUUACCAAAGCUUUGACGGGUAGCCGGCCUGAGAGGGUGACCGGCCACAUUGGGACUGAGAUACUGCCCAGACUCCUACGGGAGGCAGCAGUGGGGAAUAUUGCACAAUGGGCGGAAGCCUGAUGCAGCAACGCCGCGUGCGGGAUGACGGCCUUCGGGUUGUAAACCGCUUUCGCCUGUGACGAAGCGUGAGUGACGGUAAUGGGUAAAGAAGCACCGGCUAACUACGUGCCAGCAGCCGCGGUGAUACGUAGGGUGCGAGCGUUGUCCGGAUUUAUUGGGCGUAAAGGGCUCGUAGGUGGUUGAUCGCGUCGGAAGUGUAAUCUUGGGGCUUAACCCUGAGCGUGCUUUCGAUACGGGUUGACUUGAGGAAGGUAGGGGAGAAUGGAAUUCCUGGUGGAGCGGUGGAAUGCGCAGAUAUCAGGAGGAACACCAGUGGCGAAGGCGGUUCUCUGGGCCUUUCCUGACGCUGAGGAGCGAAAGCGUGGGGAGCGAACAGGCUUAGAUACCCUGGUAGUCCACGCUGUAAACGGUGGGUACUAGGUGUGGGGUCCAUUCCACGGGUUCCGUGCCGUAGCUAACGCUUUAAGUACCCCGCCUGGGGAGUACGGCCGCAAGGCUAAAACUCAAAGGAAUUGACGGGGCCCCGCACAAGCGGCGGAGCAUGCGGAUUAAUUCGAUGCAACGCGUAGAACCUUACCUGGGUUUGACAUGGAUCGGGAGUGCUCAGAGAUGGGUGUGCCUCUUUUGGGGUCGGUUCACAGGUGGUGCAUGCCUGUCGUCAGCUCGUGUCGUGAGAUGUUGGGUUAAGUCCCGCAACGAGCGCAACCCUUGUUCACUGUUGCCAGCACGUUAUGGUGGGGACUCAGUGGAGACCGCCGGGGUCAACUCGGAGGAGGGUGGGGAUGACGUCAAGUCCUCAUGCCCCUUAUGUCCAGGGCUUCACGCAUGCUACAAUGGCUGGUACAGAGAGUGGCGAGCCUGUGAGGGUGAGCGAAUCUCGGAAAGCCGGUCUCAGUUCGGAUUGGGGUCUGCAACUCGACCUCAUGAAGUCGGAGUCGCUAGUAAUCGCAGAUCAGCAACGCUGCGGUGAAUACGUUCCCGGGGCU